rnacentral:rRNA from 1 species
AGCAGCCGCGGUAAUUCCAGCUCCAAUAGCGUAUAUUAAAGUUGUUGCAGUUAAAAAGCUCGUAGUUGAAUUUCGGGAUCAAUACGUCGGUCGUGCUUCGGUACGUACUGGCGUCAUUGAUUUCUCCCUUCUGACGAACCAUGAUGUCAUUAACUUGGUGUCUUGGGAAAUCAGGACUGUUACUUUGAAAAAAUUAGAGUGUUUAAAGCAGGCUCACGCUUGAAUACAUUAGCAUGGAAUAAUGAAAUAGGACGUUCGAUCCUAUUUUGUUGGUUUUAGGAUCAACGUAAUGAUUAAUAGGGAUAGUUGGGGGCAUUAGUAUUCAAUUGUCAGAGGUGAAAUUCUUGGAUUUAUUGAAGACUAACUACUGCGAAAGCAUUUGCCAAGGAUGUUUUCAUUAAUCAAGAACGAAAGUUAGGGGAUCGAAGACGAUCAGAUACCGUCGUAGUCUUAACCAUAAACUAUGCCGACUAGGGAUCGGAUGAUGUUAAUUUUUAAUGUACUCAUUCGGCGCCUUAAC